GGUCUACAAAGAGGCAGGCAUUAUUUCACAGUUCUGUCCAUGAAAGGCAGACGGUCAGUGUUCUCCGGGGACGAAUUUCUGCCUCUUUGGGUGCAGAAGGAAGCUAAGGCAGCCCACGAUGACAACUCGUGCUAACUCUUGCCGAGUUUGGCACUGGGAAGUCGGUGACUGCAGGGCCACCUGGACGCCUACGCAUGGAACAUCCUGAGCAAGGCUGGUGCUUGGCCCAGAAGUCCUCGGUGCCCCGCUAAUAGAUGCCAGCCCCUUUCCACCGCCCAUCUGUGGUCGGAAAGAGGUGUGGGUGGCAUGAAGGACACAUGAGUCUGAUGGUGCCACCAACGUAAACUGUGAUCUUUGUGUACAAUCCUGAACACCAUGACCUUUUUAAGGUUGUAAAAGCAGCUAAGUGGCUUAAAAUCUAAAAUGAAAGAAUGAAAUGGAGCAGACUAGAAAUUGUGUCAAAGGACAGAAAACACAGUUUUAUAGCACUGUGCCUCGAGCGUCUCUGCCCCUGGGCGUACGCCUACCUCCAGACCCUCAGAAUGAUUCAGGAGCUGGCUUUAUGUGGGCGGCUCCACCCCAGUUUGGUGAUGGUGGGAACAGAAGUGAGGUGGGGAGGCCAGACGGAGCAGAGGGUGACACGUUACACGGGAGUCAGGGAAUCAGGCCUGACUCAGCAAGAGGACCCUCAUCCUCCAGGUGUGUCUUCAGUACGUCCCCGUGAAGUCACCUUGCCCUGGAGAAGUCCCUGUGCCAAGAGGGAGCCGGCUGUCUGCCGUGACAAGCUUUCCAAGCAGCUGCUACUCCUGUCUGACAGUGACUGUACCACAGAAGCAGCAGGCAGGCCUGCUGGGCAGGUCCACCCCGCCUGAGCACAGGUCACCGGUGGGCCACGCUGCACGGAGGGGCCCUGUGACCCAGGGUGUCACCUGCUCUGCCGUCAUGCAGAGGAGACAGGGGGAGAGAGACAGAGGCCCUGAGCCCGGAGCUCACUGUCCCCUGCUGUCACCAGUGCUGCACUUGGGAGAUGCUGAGGAGCCUUGGCCAGAGGUCCCUGCCGCAGCCAGACCAAAAACCCCGGGGCCAGUGCAGCAGAGACACUGUGCUGAGAAGCAGGGUGUGAGCACAGAGCUCCCGGAGCCUCACUUGCCAGCAGGUCCCUGGGCCCGGUCCCUCUACCUCAGUGAGCAGUGGUGGCGGGACCGGCUUCUGUCCCCUGCCUGUGGCUGACUGUGUAUGGCGGAGGGGUGGAAAUCACCCCAAGCACAGGCCUCCCCUGAUGGCUCAGUCCUGUUUAGGUGUGAGAGUGCUGGUCCCUUGCUGGACUGGGCCCUGCCCCUCAUCUGCCAGGAAGGAGGCUGACUUUCUGCCCUGUGCUGCUUCACUGAAAUCAGAAGGGACAUUUCAAAUAGUGUAUUUUAAAAUCUUGCAUUAACUUCCAUUUGAUUAGGCCAAAAUCAAGGGGAGACUCUUCUGUUGGAUUUUAUUUUGUGCUAGCACAAAUGUAUUUUUUUUCUUUUUAUCAGUGCCAGGGAUCGAACUCAGGACGGCCUGCUUGCAAGGCAGGCGUUUAUGCCUCUGAGCUAACUCCCCAGCCCACAAAUGUAUUUUUAAAACUUUAACCACUUAGCCAUCAGCUAUAUAAACGUUAGCCUGGGUAUAAGAUGAAACCUUAUGUGAUUAGUCAAAUCUCCACCCAGAGCCAUCUGUUUCCUGAAGAUAACUGUUUUAUUUAGAAGUUGUUAAAGAAAGAAGUUGUUUUAGUCUUUCAGUCUAAGAUGUGAAGGAAAACGCGUUUAUGCUUUGAGCUUUCUUCAGCCUGGAGCAACUUAUUUUACACAUACUUGUCCACCGUCCCUUUUUGCACUUAACGUACUCUCCAGAUGACACCACACGGUGCUCCCUGCGCACGGCUGGGGUUGUGGGGCAUCUCUUCAGGGGUGAGCCCCGGUAAGGGCCACCUGAGCUGCUUACAGUCUCGUCCCAGCUCACAGCGCUGCACUGACUACCUUUCGGCUCAUGCCCUCUCCUGAGAACUCUACUUUCACUGUAUAGCGAUCGCAAGUGGGAUUACUGGGUCAAAUACACGUGUAACCUUCGGGGUGCACGGCCCUCCUUGCCAGCCUUCCUGGCUGCAGGCCGCUGCCCCUCCUGCAGGGAAGGUGCCCUUGACCUCAGCUCACCGCCUCCCUAAGGACACCGUGGAGUUACAAGGCCUCGGGAUCCUCUGGUCACCCUGAAGGAGAAAUCUGUCUGCUGUAAGCGAUGUCUGCCCAGGGGAUGACCACAGUCCUUUCUGCCCUCUGGGGGCUCCCACCUCCGGCUCCCCGCUCCCUCCUGGCUGUCCAGGCUCUGCACAGCCCUCCUCUCCCCCUCACCCCUCCCAUAGCGGACUCCACACUGUAAUCUGUGGCACAGAUCCCACCCCCUGUGUAGGUUACAGUCCCUACCUGACAAAGCUGGACCAGGUAACUAAAAUUGCAAACUGCCAUUUUUGAAUCACUGGUGUUGAUUUGAGCUGAGUUUUUGUUUUGCUUUGUUUGGUUUUUGGUCUCUGACACAGGGUCUCACUGUGCAGUUCAGGCUGGCCUUAAACUCACUUUGUAGCCCAGGCUGGCCUGCAACUUGCUCCCACCCUCCUGCCUCGGCCUCCGGAGUGCUGGGAUGAGAGACAAGGGCCAGCAUACAUGGCUUUCAGCUCAUUUUUCUGCCACAAACUCUGCAAAAGCUAUAACACCAUCUCCAGGACUCACAGCUUACAAUAUGCCAGCUUCUCUCAGCCGCCAUAGACAAAUCAAAGCUUGCUGCUUCUCCUGGACGUGCUCGCUUUCUUACUCAUGCUGUCUACAAAAAGUCUGCUGUCCUGUUUGCCACCACCUUCCUCCCAGAAACAGCUGCUGCCCAGACACCAGCUGCAGACACAAAACAGCAAAAGCUCGCCUCCUUCUCUUGCAGGAAAACUCUCACCAAACCAAACCCAAAGGAAGACCCUUUGCACCCAAGGAGAGAAGAGGGCGCCAUGUAAGCUUUACACCAGCAGACUGUUGGAUCUUCACAGCAGCUACGGGAUAAUUCCUCAACGGCAACAGGGCUGAGUUAGGGAGAGUCAGUUUACAUGCAAUUUAGAAGUGGGAGGUUUAAAACAAGUGACAAAGCGUUACAUAGCUACUUUGGUGCAUUGAGGCCUAUAUUGGCAGGCAGGCUGGUCUGGAAACAAAGCAAUUGUUCAUCAUGUUACAGAGUCACUGGGGCACUGGGGAUCAGCCCUUACAGAGUGAGCACAGGGAAGUCAUUACCAUGACAUGGAGCAUUCCGGGGAGGGCCCUUGGGUUAGUCCAGGGCGCCUUAAGGUACACAAAUUACUCUGACUCAGCGCUCAUCAGAGGUGCGCAGCUGGGCUUGGACACCGUCAAGGUCAGUUGAAUUCAGCAGAAACAGGAGGACACAGAAAAGCGGUCAGAGAUUUCUAAUUGAUCAUGAAAUAUCUAUAAGUUUGAUGUCUUAUAAAUGUGUUUCUACAUGAUAAUUGUGGCCGAACACAUCCUCUUCUAAUUUUGCAAAGGAAGGAGUGACUGGCUGGUGACCGCAGAACACAGGCAGCAGUCUGUGUACAAUCCAGAGCAGGAGAAGCUCAGUGGGGUGCACAGGGCCCCAGGAUUCCCCAGGACAGGGAGCAGUGCAAUUUAGGUCCUGACACUGUGGAAUGUGCUGAGCAGCCUUUUCCCUGAGACAGCCUGCAGCUUGUCAGUGUGAGUGGACAGGAAGAGGGGCAGCAUGUGGAGCAGCACCCCAGUGGGCACCCCGUUGUACUGCAAAUGGACAUCGUGUGAACUUCUCCGAUCUUAUUCUCGGGGAAUACGUGAUGGGGUUGCGGGAGAUGGAUUUUCUCAGAACGAGAACAAGAACAGUUAUUGGGCAGCCUCGGAGGGAGAUGAUCUGACUUAUCGGAAAGAUUCAUCACCCUCAGCAGACAGCAGAUGGGGAGACUGGAGGUUUGCCUUGAUGUCCUCCACGGAUACAUGCAAAGUCUUGGCCACCUUUUCUAGUGACGCAUCAUCCAGCCUGAAGUCAGACCUGUACUGGACUAAGCUGUCUUCCACCCUCUCUAUGUCUUUGUCACUGAUGUGACCCGUGAAGGGCUUGGUGGCUACAGCUCCAAACUUCAGAGCCUGCAUAAACAUCAUCUGCUUCAGGGCAUCUGUCUUCCGAUCGAUGGCAGCUUCGGUGACACUGGGCAGGCACUGCAUGAGGACAUGGCGCUUCUGAGCAGGCACGUCCAUCACAAGGGUGCUCCUCAGCUCAGGGAAGUCAUAUUCACGCAGAUGAAGGCUGGAAAUUAAGAAUAUUUUACUGGCUGUCACUUGUGCCUCCCACAAUUUUUUCUCACAGUCACGGGAUAUCUCUCGGAGGAUGUUGUCCUUAUUAAAGUUUGUAGGCUUAGCGAUUUCCUCACUGGCUAACUCAGUAUCAAUUUUUGUCCUAACAAAAUAGAAGUUCUUCUUCAUUUUUGCAAUCGGUUUGGCCAACUGUGCAUCAUUGUCUUUGAAGUGGGCAGAAGAAACGAUCAGGAAAAAGUCAUAUUCAGCGAACUUGACUUUGUGCAGGUAAGUUUCUGGAGGGCAGUUGGUGGUCCGCAGGCCAGGCAGGUCCCAUACUGACACACUGGGAAACCUUUAGUUGUUUGUAUUCAGUUCUCUCCAUGAUGGUCUCGGUUGGCCCAGUUUGAGCAGAACCUUCCUCUUCAUUCCCCAUGUCCCGCAGGGCAUUGAUCAGACUGGACUUUCCUGUUCCUCUCUCCCCUGUCACUGCAAUGCUCAGUGGAGCAUUUUCGAUGUCUUUCAAAGCAGAGCUAACUAUAGAAACUGCUUUUGGAAUGUCCCCCUUCUCCAGAAAGUACUGAAUCAACACCCUGGCUUCCUCUGAGAGGACUUUGCUUUCCUGCUUGAAAUUUUUAAAAUACUCGCUGAAGCUGGAGGCUAAGGUCUUGCUCUCUGUGCUGGAGUCUGCGGAAAACAGUUGACCCAUGGCUGUGAGCAGUCCAGGACUCUAGAAAAAGGGUUGUGUACUCUAGACACAGUGGGAAGGUCAAGGUGGGCACAGCGGGAAGACCACAGCUUUCCUGUCAGGAUGCGGCAGCACCUCAGUCCAGGUUCCACACUGUGGCUGGGAAGGGCUUCCUCGAGGUGUGACCAGGACACCUGGCUUGGGUGCAGUCACCCCUUCUGCAGACUCUUUCUUUGUCUUGGAGUUCCCUGCACCUUAAAGAGUUUCCUCAUGAAUUUAAUAUCUGAUUUUCCGUUCAAGCACUCAUGGCCUUUUACGUUUUGUUCAGUUUGCUUUAGUUAUUUCUGUUUUCAGGAAAUUAACUUGUUACUAUGGCAGCCCAUCUACAAAGGCAGCAGUAGACCUGGCAUCAAACCACUACACAACAGUAUCUGGUUUCAAGACUACAAAGCUAUCGUCAUCAAGACAGUGCAAAGCUCAUAGAGAACAGGCAGACAGAGCAAGGGGCCACAGUCAAAUCCAGACCGAGAGCCCCAUAAACGUACUCCCCUGAUCUUAGUCUAAUCGUCGCAGCAAUACAAUGAAGCAAGGAUGUUCCUUCAGAAAAAGUUCUGAUGGAUCAGAUAGCCUUGCAUGCACUGUCACAAAAUUAAGGUGCGUUACAGACUUGAGUGUAACAAACAAACAAACAAACAAAGAGAAAUCCAGUGACCUGAAGAAUGGAGAUGAUUUUUAGAUAUACCAUAAAGUCCAUUCAUGAAAGAUAUCAUUGGUAAUGUGGACUGCCUUAAAAUAAAAAAUUAUGGAAUAUAGUAUCAAGAGAAUCAAGGGACAAAUCCACAGACUUGCGUAAAAAUAUUUGUGAGAGCGUUGGGAGUGGUAGCACGUGCCUGAAACCCUGGCGCUGGGUGGGGACGAGGGCGGUGGGGGAGGCUGAGGCCUAAAGAGCACAAGGACUGGAGCCGCCUGGGAAACUCAGCAAGGCCCUUUCUCAAAACAAUUAAAAAGGACUGGAAAGCAGCGUGGUGCAAGGGCUCUGGGUUCCAGUCUCUAAAUUACAAAAGCUCAUCUGAUGAAGAACUAUGGUACAAAAUGCACAAAGAUCUUUGAAAUGGAAAAAUAAGAAAAUGAACAACAUGAAUAAAAGCAGACUAAGGGUGAUAGCAGAGACCUCAUGAGAGAAGAUGUCCACAGAGAAAUGCAGCCCGGCCCUCACCGUGAGACACAUGCAAAAGAGAACAGUGAGGAGAAACCGCAGCCCAGCAGUCAGAGUGGCCGCAGCCCGGACCCUGACAGCAGCAAAUACUGGCCAGGAUGUGGGGCCACGGGAGGGAACCCACCCUGGUGGGCAUUCAGAAUGGUACGUCCGCUUUGCAAGAUGGCUUCGCAGUUUUGCAGAAAAGGAAAUACAGUUAGCAUUCAGACCUCUGAUAGUUACACAAAGUAGUUAAAAUUUUUGUUCACACAAAAACUUGUACACUGGUGUUUCUAGAAGCUUUUGCAGAAAGCUAAACCUUGAAAUCAGCAAGGCUUUUCUACAGUUACUAAACGGCUUAAUGGUUGGGGCCUGCUCUGGACAUGGGACUGCUGUUUAGUUACAGAGAGGAAGGAGUCAUUACACCACGAAUGGACUUGAAGGAAGCUAAAGCACGAAUGCAUGUUGGAAAAUGAAAGAAGCCAUGAGACUCCACGCUGUGCGGAGCCAAUUCCAUGCGGUUCUGGACAAGGCAGAAUAAUGGAAAAGCCUGAAAUCCCUUGGCUGUCAGGGACUGAGGGUGAUGGAAAGGCACACACAGAGGCCUUUCGGGCAGCCUCGCUGUUCACAGUGAUGCUAUCGGAGUGGACACCAGGCAUUGUUCGCUUCUCCAGCCCUUGACUGUACAACAGGAGCCAGCCCUGAAUUCUUGAUUUUAGGUGAUUAUGGCAUGUCAGUGUGGCUCAUCUGUUGUCACAAAUGCACCACUCUGCAGGACGGUGUGGAAAUGGGCAGACUAAGCACACGCAGAGAGAGCGGGUACACGGGUGUCCCUUCCCUUCUGUCUGAAACUGAAGCUGCUCUAAAGAAUAAAAUCAUACAAAGAAACUAGA